GAUGAAGAACGUAGCGAAAUGCGAUAAGUAGUGUGAAUUGCAGAAUUCAGUGAAUCAUCGAAUCUUUGAACGCACAUUGCGCCCCUUGGUAUUCCAUGGGGCAUGCCUGUUCGAGCGUCAUUUGUACCUUCAAGCUUUGCUUGGUGUUGGGUGUUUGUCUCGCCUUUGCGUGUAGACUCGCCUUAAAAUAAUUGGCAGCCGGCGUAUUGAUUUCGGAGCGCAGUACAUCUCGCGCUUUGCACUCAUAAUGACAGCGUCCAAAAGUACAUUUUACACUCUUGACCUCGGAUCAGGUAGGGAUACCCGCUGAACUUAAGCAUAUCAAUAAGCGGAGGA
rnacentral:misc_RNA from 1 species